AAAGCCUGACAGGUUUCUCCGGGAAAGUGACCAUCCAUGGAAUGAAUGAAAUGUUCCCUUUCUAUUCCUACCACCAAUAACAUUUUCCCUCGGCCUCAAGAGACACUCACAAAACAAUGGCCCACAGUGCUUUUUAGGACAAGAACUGCAGUUGUGUACUGUGCGUGCAUAGUCCUACGCAGGAGGAAGGCAAUGUUUAAAGCUGCUGUCGCCUCCUGGAAAAAAAAAAAAAGAAAACUGGGACUCUGAGUCAAGCAGUGUACUGAUCUAGAGGAUCCCUAAUCCAUUGGGAUGAGCCUGCGUGAUCAAUAAGAUGGAAUCUACACUUGUCACAUCCAGGGAUGUAGUUCUGGAGACAAAAUUGCCACCAAAUGUGAACCCUCAACCAAACCAUGAUCUUGUCAAACACCCCUACCACUUUUCUUUUCUCUUAUUAUCUCAUUCCUUUUUUAAUGACAUCAGGUUAAAAUGAGUAUCAGAGGGAAAACUGAAGAUAAUGUAGCAAGACAAUGCAGUUCUACUUUCUCAACUGGAAGAUGUACCAAGUGAGACCCAAAGUAUAAAUUAGCCCCUUCUUCCUAAAGCUAGAAUCACAACCCAGGUCUCCUUCGUGGCACAGAAUUCUUUGACUGGACAACUCUGUGUAAUAUACAGUCUGAGUGGGCUGGUAUAUAAUGAAACACAGUUUUUGCCUUAGGAACGCAGUCAGGCAGAGGUGAAGAGGGGUAAGAUUCUGGGAUGUGGGCUGACUGUAGACAUGUACGUUUGAACACCAGCAAUCAGAGCCACUUUUCCUUUUACCAUUAUUUCCUGAGAAUGAUGAGCCAACAGUUCCAAAGCUCUAGAUUCCAAAAUACCACCCCCUAAGGAAUAUUCAUGGGGUCGCAAAGAGUCAGACACGACUGAGUGACUGACCUGAACUGAACUGAAGGAAUGUUCAUGUCCAUUUGCGAGAAGCCAAGGACUGGGAGAGAAAAGAGCAACAGCUGUUUUCUCUCUUCCUCUAGUCUGCAAUUUGGUUGAAAGAUAUCUAAGAUUGGAGCAAGGCACAGAUAACCACCUUCUAGUAUGAUCUGAGAAAAACAGUCCUCCCACCUCUAAAAUAGGUCCUCUAGGGACUUGCUGAAGUGCUUGACACAUCCACAUUAAAGAGUCAUUCCUUUGGGACAAAGAAUUAUUUACAUAUUCAACACUGAAGAAAUAUCUACUAAGAAUCUAUGUGCCCAACACAUGUUCUUUAUGCUUCCCUCCUUAAAAAGUGACAAAUGAAUAAUAACUGGGCUCUAUCCUAAAGGCAUUUAAAAUCUAGAUGGGAACGAGAGCAGAAAUAAGAUAAUUUAAGUAGAAAACGAUGUGUUAGCACAGGGUUAGGAUGUGUGUCAAGCACUCAGGAGAUCUGAAGGCAAGCUGCAACAAAGUGAGGUGAGACUUAUCAGGUGGCAGGCGUAGGCACGGGGACCCCAGAGCUGGAAGGAAGUGUAAGAGACAAAGACAGAAAGUGAACACAAGCUGAGCGCGAAGGGCCCACUUCAUCCUGAGGAGGAGGAGAGCCACUGAAGAGGGUUAAGUUAGCAAGGAAGGGUGGGGAAAAGGUGAUAUAGAACAUAUAUUGAUGCUUAUGUAUCAUAGUGGAGAAAAGAAUGCAUCAGGUGAUUAACAGUCGUUAACACUUAUGAAAAAUUUGCUCCAGGAAACAAAAAGGGGAGAAGAAUUAAUCUCAGAAUUACAUUCUUGCUCUAAAACUGUGGGAAAACGGUCUUGCCAGAAUUUGUAAUCCUGUGAAACAAAAAAAAAUCUGGCAAGCAAAAUCUUGCCAGAACUUGUAAUCCUGUGGAAGGUCGAAAUCUUUGCGUGCAAAAAUAUUAGAGUACAUAUGUUAACCUACAGGGUGGAGAUUUCAAUGCAUUAGUGGUUCAGGGAAAGGCCUGCUCCGGAGAAGACUGAAGCAGCCUCAAAAGACCUUAUAAAGGAGAGGGGAAAAUACUUGCUGGGAAGAGUGACAGCAAGUGUCUGUUUGAGGGUGACAGAACCUAGUAACAUUCAUUCAAAAACAUUAACCAAGCCCUGUGCGGGUGCCUUCGGUGGAUGAACAAUAGAUAGAAAUGACCUGUCCUCAAAGGCCUUCAGUUUAGUGUUCGCUGGGGGUGACAGAAAUAAACAAGGUCUUACCAUACA
rnacentral:lncRNA from 1 species